UGGACAGAUUAUUGUAUUCGACUGUAUUCACGGCGUGAAACAGGGGAUUACACUGUUUUAAAACGGAAAGUGAAUCAAUUAACAUAAUAGACUCCU
rfam:Nicotiana attenuata strain TT chromosome 7, whole genome shotgun sequence.